rnacentral:lncRNA from 1 species
UGAUAACGGUUAUAAAGUAUAUACAAUACAUCUGCUAUAUUUUUUGCACGCAUCCAACAGGCAUCACUAAAUCUCUGAGUAAAGGUCUGAUUCGACCAAACAUUAUCGAAGUUCUGCGACUUGCACAUUUGGUUCUCAAUGGGUCCAAAUUUUAAGCAAGGCUAUUUUAGCAACAAAGAUGCUUUUCAUGAACCUAAAAACUAAUGGAUUAAUGAAGGGGUCCUACUUUAUUGGUUAUGCAAACCAAGCUCAUGAAAACUGGGCAGACAACUUCAUGAUUCUCCUAAACUUGGAGCCUAGACGAGAAAAGAGGGCAAAAGGCAAGACAAAAGAAACUGCACCUUUUCGGAAGGCAAAAUUUGGAAGUUGAAGAACCUAAUAGAGGCUAUACGUUAGCAAAAUAUUGAAGAAUAAGCUGUCAUUUGUUUAGAAAAGGCACCUGUAGUAGGAAAAGUUUGGCAAUUUAUCUUUUCAUUAAAAAUAAAAUCAUUCAACAAUAGAAAUAAGGUGCCAAUUGAAGAGUUGUUAAUGAUUAAGUGUUGAUACUAGAGGCCUGUG